UGUAAUGGGUCUCCAGUCGCCUUUUCAGUUAAAGGAGGGCACUGGAGAUGAGAGGGUAAUCUUGCUGGUGGAAGCUGCAGGACUGAGCUGGGUUGGGAGGGGUUGAAAGCCAAAUAAGAAGAGAAGACCGUUAGACCCUGUGAUAUUGUUAACGUCCAGGAAGUUGAAAAUGGAUACAGCACGAUCAACUAUAUACAAUUUGUUUCAUGGGGAGCCAAGCACGUAUACCCGCUUCAGCUUGGCCCAGCAUAUGGAAGGUGACAAUAGCCAAGUGGAGAUGAAACUGUCAAAUUCUGAGAUGGACGAUGAGGUUGGAAACUCCAUGGGAGGUCACAGGGACCCUCGCAUUAUGAAGCCAAAGCGCAGCCCCAAAAGCAUCUGCUUUAUGAUUGUUUGUACUCUGCUUAUCUUCCUAAUAGGCUUUCUUAUUGGUUAUUUAUCGUAUCGCGGGCGAAUGCCAACAAGAGAGCAGGGCUGUUCCAAUGCGGACAGUGUUUCUUGUGGCACCAUUGAAGAACUGCUAAGUGAGGAUGACAGUGAUACGACUCUGGAAGCCGCUCAGCCUGUCCUUGAAUGGAAACAGCUGAAAGAACUGCUCAAAAGCAAGUUUUUAGUAUCAAGUUUUGAAUCCCGCAUCAGGGCCUUUUCUGCAAACCAUGAGGCUGGUUCUGAAGGUGAUCAAAAACUUGCUUUGAGUGUGUAUAACGAAUUCAAAAACAUUGGGCUGGAUAGUGUCUGGAAUGAUGAACACUAUGUGAAGCUUCAGUCCCUUGGCAGCACUCCAAACAAAGUAACAUUUUUGGGUUCCGGAAUACCUGAAGUUAUUGAAGUUCCAAAGGGUUACCUGGCUUACAGUGCUGCAGGCCAAGCUACGGGUAAAUUGGUUUAUGCUAAUUAUGGAAGGGAAGAAGAUUUUAAAAAAUUAACAUCUUUGGAUAUUACUGUGAAUGGCAGUGUUGUCAUUGUUCGAGGUGGACAAAUAAGCUUUGCCGCUAAGGUUGCCAAUGCUCAGAAAGUGAAAGCAGCUGCAGUUUUGAUCUACCUAGACCCUGCUGACUAUAACAUGCCUGAGAACACAGAUGUGUUUGGUCAUGUUCAUUUGGGCACUGGUGACCCAUAUACCCCAGGAUUUCCUUCAUUUAACCACACUCAGUUUCCUCCUGCACAAUCCUCAGGGCUUCCCAGCAUCCCUGCUCAGACCAUCACAACAAAUUCAGCUCGUCGGCUGAUGAGUAAAAUGACAGGACAGCCUGCCCCUUCGGAAUGGAAAGGAACUUUAUCUCCGCCCUACAAUUUGGGAAAUGAUGAUAAUGUCCAGGUGGAAGUGGAGGUGAACAAUGAAGUUGCUGAAAAGAGGAUCCUAAAUGUAUUUGGAGUGGUUAAAGGACUUAUUGAUCCAGACCACUAUGUUGUGAUUGGAGCUCAGCGUGAUUCUUGGGGUCCAGGUGUUGCCAAAUCAGCUGUGGGAACUUCUUUGCUGGUGGAGAUGGCUAAAGCACUUUCAGACUUAGUCGUAAAAGAUGGAUACAAACCCAGAAGAAGCAUUAUUUUUGCAAGCUGGAGUGCUGGCGAUUUUGGAAGUGUUGGUGCAACUGAAUGGUUGGAGGGUUACCUGUCUAUGUUGCACCUGAAAGCUUUUGCUUACAUAAACCUUGAUGCUGCAGUGCUGGGCUCUCAAACUUUUAAAGCAUCUGCCAGUCCUAUGCUGUACACACUUCUUGGAAACACCCUAAAAGAGGUCAGCGCUCCACUGGACAGCAGUAAGACGUUGUACCAAAAACUUGGUGCUGAUAGCUGGGAGAAGCAAACAAUUGUCCCAAUGGCCAUGGAUGAUGCGUCAUAUGCCUUCCAAGCAUUUUCCGGAAUACCAUCUCUUUCUUUCAGGUUUACGAAUGAUGGAGUGUAUCCAUACUUUGGAACCAAAGAAGACAAUUGGAGCAAUCUGAAUGCUCGCACAGGAAACAGGAUAGACGACAUAGCCAGAGCUGCUGCAAAUGUGGCUGGGCAGAUGGUGUUAAGGCUGACCCAUGAUCAUCAGCUCUCCCUGGACUUUGACAGAUACAACGGGGAGCUGUACUCGUCUGUAUUGAAGAUCAAUCGAUUUGCUAAACAGUUGAAGAAAGCAGGCUUGACUAUAAAGUGGCUGUCCUCUGCUCGUGGUGACUUUGACCGAGCUACAGAAACACUGAAAAACGACAUUCUCAACAGCGACCUGAACGAUGCAGAAAUGUGUCGAGCCAUAAACGAGCGGAUCAUGAGGGUGGAGUACCAUUUCCUCUCUCCCUACGUCUCGCCAAAGGAUACUCCCUUCCGCCACAUUUUCUAUGGCUCUGGUCCCCACACUUUAAAGUCUCUGAUUGAAAACCUUAACCUCCUGAAUGGUAACACCUUAGACCUCGACAUGGACGUCUUACGAAAUCAGCUAGCCUUGGCCACCUGGACCAUACAGGGGGCUGCCAAUGCUCUGUCAGGCGACAUCUGGGACAUAGACAACGAAUUCUAAAUGCUUGGAUUGGUGUCCAGUGUUUUCUCUAAAGGCAAGCUGAGAUUGAACCCACAUUAAAAAAAAAAAAAAAAAAAAACAUUGGCUUGACAUUUUACAAACCGGUAAAACUCAUUUUAAAUUUAGCCUACACACAGCAAAACAUGCUUAUCAUUUUUAAUGCCAUAAUUGCUAGCUGCUCAUAAAGUGGAUUCUUUUUUUUUUGUUUGUUUUGUCCGAUUAAUAAGAUAAAGUUAAAGCUUCAUCUCCCUUUGGAGAAAAUGCCCAGUUUUUUUUUUAAUUUCUGUCACAAAGAAACAUGUACAAGAGCUAAAUCCAACUAUGCCUUUGAGAGAACACUGGAAUUUAGGUAUAGCUAACAUUCAGUACAGUGUGUUUUUUUUCCCUUUAUAGUUUUUGUAUUGUUUGAACUAUACAAUGAAGAGUUAGCAAAGAUUUUAGCCAGAACUAGAUAGAGGAAGCAUCAGUAGGCAAGGUAUGUAAUUUAAACUUGCAUGUGAAUUGUUCAGUUAAAUUUUCAUUUAAGAUUUAAGAUGUAGAAUAUGCGGGUCAGUGUUGCAAAAUCUGGUGCAUUUUAUAUUGUAUGAACAAUCAAUGUCUCAUUGGCCACUGAAACGUUUGCCUAUCUUGUUUUUGUUUUUUAAACGUUAAAUGUGUCAAAUUGAUAUUCAUUUAGCUGAGCAGUGCACUCAGCAGUUGGCUUUAUUUUUGCCAAUGGAUUUGCGUUUCUUGAAAGCCUCUUUUAUCUACCUACAUGUUUCGUGAAUAGCUAAAACAUGCCUGAUGACAGCUAUCUGUUAAUAAGGAUCGAAAUGUAAGAAAAGUGUAAAAUACACCUACCAAGGCAAUAUGUGAAAAGCAAUUUCUGUUACCAAAUUUACUGAUACAGAAUGUGAGCUUUUGUUUCCUGUCGGCCAAUGUCAUUUGGUUAGAAAAGAAAAAAAAAAAAAAAAAAAUCAGGAAACAAAUGUCUUCACCGUCUGGCACUGAGAUAUUUAUUUGUGUUAUUUAUUUAUCAGUGACAGGGUUCACUAUAAAUAGUAUUUUUUUUUUAAAACUAUUUCUUAUAUAAGAUAAUUAUCGGAAGCAGUGCCUUCCAUAAUUAUGACAGUUAUACUGUCACUUUAAUAAAAGCAGCAUCUGCUACAGAAACACGCUUGUUACCAAAAUGUUGACCAGAAACUGCAGUUGCAUGAAACAUUUACAAAUAACGACAUUUAAUUGAGUCUAGGUUUGCCUAUGAACUAAAUGUAAACUGUUACAUCUAUCUUCAUUUUUUAAAUGCUUUACCUGCUCAAAAGACCCAACUGAUUUGCACUGGAAAGUCUUGCUCACUUUGCUAGUCUUUGAACAGCUUACAAAGUUAAGCAAAAUAAUUGCAGUAUUGCAUUUUUUAAUCCUGGUUUUAGAUCAUAUAUAUUUUUUAAUAAGCAUGAAGAUGAUACUUGAUUUAUAAAUUGUGUUGCUGGUUCCACCUUUUACACCUUGAACACUAAACAAGGUAGUUUUUAAAAGAGCUUGCAGUUUCUGGUCAAGCAGUUUUGGUGCAUUUAUAUUUCUAAUCCUAACAACAUUAUCGGGAGCAGUGUCUUCCAUAAUGUAAAAAACGAAGGUAGUUUUUGCCUACCAAGGUGUAUAUAUCGGGGGCAGUGACCUUCAUAUUUCACACUGAAGGUGUCUGUAAUUAUCGGGAACAGUGUUUCCCACAUUCUUUGUAUAUUGUUUGCAUUUACGAACUAUUGCAAGGCUUGAAGUUGUUUGUGUCUCAUCAACAUUAACCUAAAUGGGUUAGAUUUUCCUCUUUAUUUCUUUAGGACUCUUUAAUUCCAAUAAAGUAAUCAACUUUUUUUUUAUUUGUAAAUUUUAUAUGGCUAACCUGUGCCUUGAGUAAACUCGUAUUCUACAAACCAUUGGCAAGAAUCCUUGAAGCGCAACUUUUGCUUCACAGUAUUGCGAAUCCUUUUAAUUAAGUAACCCUAUUCAUCUACUCAUGUUCAUGUGAUGUUUUGAAUGCUUGUUGGACAGUUUUAAUUGAACAGUUUAAUCUCCAUUUAGACAUAGGUUUAACUGUGGUAACUGAAUAUCUAAAUUGCUGAGGUUAAAGUAUGCGGGCGCAUGAAGAUGCAUAAAUACUUACGUUUUUUUGUUUUUUUUUUUAAUGAAAAAUCUAUUAAAUUAUAUGGUAUUCACUUGUAUCUUCACAGAAAGAAUUGUAAUGUCUGUCACAAGUCAAAAGAAACCGUAUUAACUUGUUCUCGUGUGAUAUUUGAUUUGUAAUGUUUUUACAACGGAAAUGGAUAGACUACUAUUGCAUACAUGAAAUGUAAUAUCUGUUCUGUAAUUGUUUUGUUUCUUGGAUUAAUCUUAUGUUCUUUGAAAUUGUCCCAACAGUUUUGCUCUUGGAGUGUUUGAUCUAUUUGUAUGAUGGCUGACUAAUCCGGGAGCUGUCGGUAAAAGCCAGCACCCACCCCGGACCACUCUACACCAUUGUUGUCGCCAUUAACUGUAUUGAAUCACCACUUGCACAAGGAACAUGCACUAUUGGAGCGUGUGUGUGAACAGCAUUGCUAUUUCGGGACUGUGCCCUAUGUUUUUACCUGUGCAAUACACGUUGUGUAUAGCCAGGUACUAUUAUUUAAGGUUGCCAGACAAGCAACCCCACUGACUAAAGAGCUGUGUUUUGACUGUGA